UCUAUCUUUCUAUCUCUCUCUCUCUGCUCUCCCUUUCUUCAUUUUUCACAUUACCCCCUUGUGUCCCCCAUUGCUCCCCCCUCCUCACACGUUCCUAUCUCACACCCUAAGGUCUCGGGGGUCACUCCCUCCAAGGUGAUUCGUAAACAGCAGCUUGCUGAGAAAUCAAUACUUUAUCAACAAGCCACAAGGGGCUUUUGCACUUAUCCUAUAUGAUCUUUGUGGUAAAGGCCUCUGAGCAUCCAUCUCCUCCGCUGGUCCGCUCCCUAAGCUCUGUUGCUAAGACAAUCAGAAGAAAAGAGAGAGGGAUGAAGAGAGGAGGGGCCACAGGAGGAGAGGAGAGAGGCAAAGGAGAAGGGAUUGUGCGGGGUCUAGAGGCUCACUGUUAGAGGAGGGAUUUGCUGCUCUGCUGCUUUUAGCUUGAUCUGCAUCUGAUUAAGGAGAGAGGGCAGAGUGUUGUCCUUCACCCCCAUGCUCCCAUGUCCCACCAUUAUGUACCCUGGCACUGAGAUCCAUCAUCCACCUACCACAGGCCUGGCUGCCAUAGCCUGGGGACUUAUUAGACCAGCCCUGCUCUGUUCAACACAGCCCCACUCUGCAUACCAUGGAGGGUAGAAAGCCUCUCCUGAUGUAACAUACUGUAUAUUUACCAUGCAUGUCAAUGACUAGAAAAACACGAAGAAUAUGUACAUAUAUAAAAGCACAUACAUAUAUGUGCUAGGACUAUCAUAUUUGCUACAUGCUUUGGAUUAUUAAAAAGAAAAAAUCAAUUCAGACCUGCAGAGGUCCUCUGACACUCAUGCUAUCACCAAACGUGUAGCAUUUUGCAUUAUCCAAAUUGGACGACUGUAUGAAGAUAUGUCAGUGCUGCUCAAAAUACAGUUUCAAACCAUAACAGGAAAUGUAAAUGUGACUUUCCUGCCAUUAAAACCUCAGCUGACUGCAUCCUUCACCCACACACUUUCUUAAAGGUUAAAUCGUUAAUUCAAACUUUAGAAGACAGUUGUAGCACCAAAAAAAAGAUAAACAGGAAGCAUUUUUCAAAUGUACUGACACAGCUACUCAGUGCUUUUUACAAGCAUCAAAAUGAUGGUAAGUUAGGGUUUAAUUCAGCUCUAAACAACAAGGUUGCGGAGGAUUGUCUCUGUUCUCUGUGCCGUCUCGCUCCCAGUGGGUCUCGUCCAAUAAGCCUGCAUCAAACCCGUCAAACUGAGAGUGAAAAGUGGAAGAGGCCGGCAUGUGCAAACAUCAAUCCUAAAUUUCCAGCCUCAAUACCAUCAUGACCUUGGUUUGGAAUGACAUCUAUUUGCUGGCUGGCUGCACACAUCUCUUUGCAAAUUGUAUGGGCCAGGCUAAUUUGUUUUUAUGCACGUUUAGUCAAGAAUGUGAUGCCACGUUAGCUUUUGGGAGCACUGCCAGUAUGGUGCGGGGUUCCGAGUGACAGACAGAAAAAGGGUGAUUGAGGAUGAUUGUUCUGCCGGUUGUGUUGAUAUAUGAAAAGAAAGACCCACUGAACACAUCCUGGAAUGGAUUCACAGCAGAUAGAAGUCCUUCUGGGACCACCUAAAGCUGAAUAUCAUCAUCUGUCCACGGAAAUAGACAACGACCUUUAAAGCUCAAAUCGGAGAGUGAAGACAGGUGCUGGGUAGUAACUCAACAAAUCUUACAGUCAAGUACCGUGUCAUAAAAAGCGGUGUAAAAAUUUUUUAAGCAUGAAUCACUCUGAGCAAAGAAAGAUUAUGGACAAAAAAAAAUGUACAUGAAAAAAAAAGAAAACUUGUCAAGCCUGUCUGCAGUACGCUCCCUUGACCUGCCGGGAAAACAAUCGCUGUGCCCUCACUAAACUGAAAUGUAAACACCGUUCAUGCAGGAAAAUAUUUGCCUUCCUCAUAGCUGAAUUGACCUCUCAGCUACAGUCAACCUCAAGCUGUUGUUUCAUUAUCUCGUCAGCUGGUAUCAUGCUGUCUUGGUUGUAUGUGCAGAGGUUUUAAAAUAUCAGCCUCUGAAACAUGUGCCACCAGCCAAUACAAUGGAGCUUCGUUUGUUCUGCUGAAGGGACUGAAAAGUUACCUCUGCAAAAUUUAACAGCAACACCCUUUUCUAUACACAAUGUCCCAGUUACUCAGGAUUAUCCACAGACCUCGCUGUCUUUGGGACUAUUUCUUUAGUAGAAGUGAUGGCAGGAAUGUCAGAGACAGAUAUCCCUGCAGGUAAGACCCUUUAAUUUGAACUUAAUACACCCUUUAUAUCAGUCUGAAUUCUGUCAAAAUUACUUAAUACAGUAUAUAAAAGUUGUGUGCUGCAAAUUUGUUUCACAGAUAAACACUGUACAAUAUAAAGAUCCAGUGAAAUUAGACAAAAAUAUCCUGUUCCCCCUACAUUAAUUGUUUUGUUAUCUCUUGGUAUGUUUUUGAUGACUCAUCCUGCACUUUAAUGUGAUUUGGGGUGACCGCUUAACCCCUCCUAUCAUAUAAAACCAUCACAUAACUUGACCAUUAGCUCAUGGGCUCUAGUAGCUAGCAGAGUCAUAUCAUGGGUUGCAGGUGUGUUUGGAUAUCAGCUAGCAAAAACUUUGUUUAAGCUUUCUUUGUCUCCAAAAGAGCAUGGUUGCGGUCUAAUUUAUUCAUUUCUCCCUCGUCCUCCACCGCCUGAUGUAACAAGAGGGGUGACGGUGAAAAUUCUCAUGCUUGCUAAACCAUUUCCACUUUUUUGCAAUCCAGUCAAAUCCCUUAACAAUUAGGACAAAUCCCUCUCGAGAUGAUGUCCUACCCACAUGUUCAGUUUCACUUUGUAAUAUGUCUCGUUACAGAAGCUGAACACGGUGCCACCUCACUGGGCCUUUAAAGUUGAAAAAACAUAAACGGCUUGCAAAAAGUGAAAAACACUGAGAACUUGAGAUGAUCAAACAGUCUAAAAAUGUGUUCAUGUGUAAACAAAAAAAAAUGCAGGGUCAUUAGACAAAAACCUGGCUCGACUUUGCUGCAAUGCAACAUCACCUGGUAAUGUACUUCUUUGACCAAUCAAAUACACGCAAUUAAAUUACCUUCUCAUAUUUCCUCUGUUUACCUAUAACUUUCCAGAGUUUCACAAUCUUGUCUCGUAGUAACAUAAAAGAGUCUGCAGUGUUUUGUUAUUUGAUCAAGCUUCAGAUUCAUGUAAGUAUUAUUAAACUACACUUGCUGGCUGUAUUAUCUUUCAUCAUCUCACCAGUACCUGUAGGAACACGCCAAACCAAAGCAGCAUCUUGUAUUUUUUGACAUUUUUGAUCACCUAUUCUCACUCCUGCACCAAACAACACCACUAUUGCCACCACGCACCUUUGAUCUUGAAUGUGGAAAUAAUUGCCAUAUCCUACAACGCAAUGAAACGUGGCCUUUUUUGGUUAGUGUUGGUUGAGCAUGGAGUAGUCUACUUCAAUGAAUCCUAACUUGUAUCCAUUUGUCCUUGUGUAUGAGAAUUCAACAUGCUCUCAGGUCCACAGAUAAUAGAUGUCCUUUCAUGCAUGGGAGGCCUGAUAGCCACACACUGGCCUCAUACCCUUUGGCUGCCCAAGGCUACUCCUCGCCCACAUCAAGUGAAACGUUCGACCAACAUUUGAUUGAAACUGGAAUGAAGAGAUACAAGAGCAUGUGAUAUGGCUUCAGGGACGGAGUGCAGUUUCGACGCAAUCUCACAGACGGAGUGAUAUCAGAAAUAUCAGCUCCUCCGUCCCUCCAUCCGUCACUCUGCUGUCCUGAGGCGAGUGGGCAGGAGCCGGGCUGACUGUACAAGAGGUCUUGUAGGGGUGACCACUCCCUGCUGUCUGCUCAGCUCGCAUUUGUUUGAUGACAUAACUGUGCAUUUAAAAGUCAAAUUGGUUGUGUGUGUGCAAUGAUCUGUUAUUUCAUAGAAGGUAACAUUAUUGUUUAUGCAGAUAUUCAGUUCUAAUCAUUGGAAUUCAUUUGGUCUGAUGACUGGUUCCUCACUUUUUCUAAAUGGCUCACUAGCUGGCCAAAUAAA